rnacentral:lncRNA from 1 species
CUCUCUGAAGGUGAGAGGCCUCAUGUGGCCUAAGUCUUUCCUCUGGCCAAUUACCUGCCCUGCCCAGGUGGGAUGGUGAGGCUGCGCCGUGGGCCACUCUCCCUCCACGCACCCCUCACCUGCACUUCGAUCCAGUAGAAUCAUAGGAAGCAGAAGGUUCUACAGCCAGCACGGGGGAGGCACAGGGGUUCUCUGAUGCUCAAGAAAGCGGGCUGAUUUUCUCCUGUACACUUUCUCGUAGAUGCUGACAGUUAACUGCCACUCACAGAAACACAGAGGCAAGCCAUGUGAUUCCAGGAAAAGACCACAUUACUGAAAGUGAAGGGGCUGCGCUCUGAGGCCCCCACACAGCUGACACCUUGUCAACCUCUGUGGCGCCACCAUGAACACGGAGCAUGGUUUCUCCCAGGAAGCCACUGGAGAGGGGGUGUUAGGUUUUAGAUAUGAGGUGUUCCCCCAAAACUCAUGUGGGAGACAAUGCAAGAAAGUUUAGAGGUUGGGUCAUGAGAGCCUCAACCCAAUCAGUGUGUUAGUCCUCAGAUAGAGGUUAACCGGGUGGUAGCUGUAGGCAGGUAGUGUGUGGCUGGAGGAGAGACUUGGAGGUUUGCAGUUCUUGUCCUUGUUGAGCCGAGCUCUCUCUGACUCCUGGGGCCAUGUGCUGAGCCUCUCCCCUCCACCACAGCCUCCCCAGGGCGCUCUGCCUCACCUCACCCUGUUGCCAAUCCAGAGCAGCGCAGCCAGCCAUCUGUGGACUGAGACCUCGGAAACCAGGAGCUCCAAAUAACCUUUUCUCCUCUAAUUGUUCUUGUCAGGUCUUUUGGGCCCAGCCAUGAAAACGCCAAUUAAACUAGAAAUUGGUACUGAAAAGUAGGUUCAUUGCUGUGACUAAACGUAUAGGGUCUUGACUUAACAUCUGAGCAGCCAGCUUAGAUGUUGACCACCAUCUUACAAAAUGAGCUUCACUUUCCUGUACUUCCUCUUACCCCAACUCCCCACCCCCAUUAGUGACCUACCCCAUGGUACCAUAGCCCUAAGCCAGUCCCAGAAGGACACAACCCCUCAACCCUUGACUCUGGAAAGCCCCACGGUGCCACGGACCUAAGCCCAUCCCCUGCUAUUGCCACCCGCCUAGCUCUGAGGAAAGCACCCCAGCCUAUCCCAUGGUGCCUCAGCUGCAGCUCCCUUCUCCACAAAAGCUGACACCGGAACCACUCGGGCCUCGGGCCUCUCUACAGAGGGAUGGCCUUUAAAAUUCCAUGUGGCUCUCUGCCUGGUCUCCGUCCUUCAAUUCUCGCUCGCCCCCGUCUCUCGCUUUCUCACUUUCCUUUCAAAACUGACCGUAUGGUUUAGAAGCUUUUGGAGUUUUUGGAAUUUAUGGCAGGAUUUUGGAAAUUUUAGCAGUGCAAACCGGAAAGGCUUUAGAGUGUUGUAAGCUGAUGUUAACGGAAUGGGCGAUUCUGGUGGGAGUUAGAAGACUAGAUUGCCAACAGGACUGUGCCCAGUAAAGAUUGGGAUCAUGUGGUUUUGUUACUGAAAGUUCUGUCCUUGUCCCUGUUGCCAAUCCAAUAACAAGAACAUGGUUUUGAGAAAGAGAAAAAAGAGGUUUAUUGCUUUGCUAGCAAAGGAGAAAGAAACACAGGGGACUCCUGUCCCAGAGGCUGUGAUUCUGCCCAUCAGCAGGGACAGGGGGCUGUUAAAGAGGUGACUCAAAAUCUACAUUCCAAGUGCUCUCUGUUGGAGUUGCAAUUCACUUGUUAAUUUGGGAGGUAGUUUCUGAGAGCUUCUGGUGCUGUCCCCAAGGUCUGGAUUACUUGGGUGAGUGCUCAGGGACAGAUAACUCUGCCUAGAAUGGGGAAGAAAGGUAAUCCCGUUUUCCUGAGAUUAGGGAGGGGGAGAGAUUAGGGAGGAGAGAGGAGGAGAAAGAAAUGUGUCCGUUUUAAACACAAGUCACAGUGGCAGAGCAGCAAAGCAUAAAGUGGCCGCGACUGCAGUUUCAGAGGAGAGGGACAACUCUCCUGGAAACUGACUACAGUCGAUUCAUGUUGUGUUCCAAGAGGUUUGUCUGUGUUCUGCCCUUGUGCUGAGAUUUCCUGUGAGGCUGAAUUUAAAGGUGAUGGACUUCUUAAUCUGGCAAAAGAAAAUUUUAGGCAGCAAAGCAUUCAGGUGGUGGCAUGGAUAUUGCUGGCAGCUUUUAGCCAAGUUUACUUUGAUAAUCAGGAGCAGAAAGCAAAGCAGAAAGAUAUGAAAAACUUGCAGUGUGGCCAGAAAACUGUGAAUAAACCAAGGGCUAAGGAAGCUGUGAUUGUUAAAGAUAAUACAGCCACUACAGAGAUGCUGCUAAAGACUUUGACCAGAGAGAGUAGGAAAUACGGCUUGAGGGCAUCUCCGGAAUUGGCAAGACCACAUCUCAGGCUCAAGGGUGUAAAAGGAAAGAUUUUUUUGAGAAGAGACCAGUGGGGUACAACCACUGGCACAGAGGGGCCUAGGAAGCUAUUUCACCAGGCUCAGAUGUCCAGCACUCAGAGGCUCCUGCAGCCAUGGUCCUCGAGGCUUGGCUACUGCUCGAGAUGGUGGCAGACUUUGGUGUCACCUGUUAGUUGAAGAGCAGGCUGAACAAAUGUUAGCUGCAGGGUGGGCUGAACACUCGACCCUCACCCGUCUGGCUCCUAAUCACUGGUUUGCCUCAAAUCUGAACACUCAACCCUACUCAAGGCUGAACACUUAACCCCCACCUGUCAGGUGCAAACCCACAUCAGGCCGCUGCCCAGUCUGCCUGAGGGCAGAAGAUGACACCCUUAGCAACUACUGUAUGACCCAAUCACUGUACGCCAACAAGGCAGCUUGCAGACCCAGAGACCCCAUUAGAUUUGGGCUAUAAAAACUCUCUUCUGGGCUGGGGAUGUGGCUCAAGCGGUAGCGCGCUCGCCUGGCAUGCGUGCGGCCCGGGUUCGAUCCUCAGCACCACCUACAAACAAAGAUGUUGUGUCCACUGAGAACUAAAAAAUAAAUAUUAAAAAAUUCUCUCUCUCCCACUCUCUCUUUAAAAAAAACACAAAAACUCUCUUGUGCAGGGGUCUCUUUCUCUCUCUCUCUCCUCC